rnacentral:ncRNA from 1 species
UAUUGUAUGUUGAUGAGAAGAGUAACCAACUUUUAAUUUUCAGAGAGUGCCACUGAAUGGGAAGGCAUAAUUGACAGCUGGUGAAGAUGAGCUCGGAGUACUAAACGCGUUCACGCGACGUUUACGGUCAGCACACCGUUACCGUGUACCGCUUGAAUGAGCGGACUGAGGCAGUUUUUUAUAACUGUAAAUUUAGGUGGUACCACGAUCAUUAAUCGUCCUUGUU